GUCGAGCGGCAGCGACUUAACUGAACCUUCGGGGAACGUUAAGGGCGGCGAGCGGCGGACGGGUGAGUAAUGCCUGGGAAUAUGCCCUGAUGUGGGGGAUAACUAUUGGAAACGAUAGCUAAUACCGCAUAAUCUCCGAUCUUUUACGAGAUGGGAGCAAAGAGGGGGACCUUCGGGCCUCUCGCGUCAGGAUUAGCCCAGGUGGGAUUAGCUUGUUGGUGAGGUAAUGGCUCACCAAGGCAACGAUCCCUAGCUGGUCUGAGAGGAUGAUCAGCCACACUGGAACUGAGACACGGUCCAGACUCCUACGGGAGGCAGCAGUGGGGAAUAUUGCACAAUGGGGGAAACCCUGAUGCAGCCAUGCCGCGUGUGUGAAGAAGGCCUUCGGGUUGUAAAGCACUUUCAGUAGGGAGGAAGGUAGUGUAGUUAACACCUGCAUUAUUUGACGUUACCUACAGAAGAAGCACCGGCUAACUCCGUGCCAGCAGCCGCGGUAAUACGGAGGGUGCGAGCGUCAAUCGGAAUUACUGGGCGUAAAGCGCAUGCAGGCGGCCUGUUAAGUCAGAUGUGAAAGCCCGGGGCUUAACCUCGGAAUUGCAUUUGAAACUGGCAGCUAGAGUCUUGUAGAGGGGGGUAGAAUUUCAGGUGUAGCGGUGAAAUGCGUA
rnacentral:rRNA from 1 species